rnacentral:rRNA from 1 species
AUUGAACGCUGGCGGCAGGCCUAACACAUGCAAGUCGAACGAGUGGCGGACGGGUGAGUAAUGUCUGGGAAACUGCCUGAUGGAGGGGGAUAACUCCUGGAAACGGUAGCUAAUACCGCAUACCAUCGGAUGUGCCCAUAUGGGAUUAGCUAGUAGGUGGGGUAACGGCUCACCUAGGCGACGAUCCCUAGCUGGUCUGGGAGGAUGACAGGCCAAACUGGAACUGGGACACGGUCCAGACUCCUACCGGAGGCAGCAGUGGGGAAUAUUGCAACAUGGGCGAAAGCCGGAUGCAGCCAUGCCGGGGGUAUGAAGAAGGCCUUUGGGUUGUAAAGUACUUUCAGCGGGGAGGCGGUAACCGCAGAAGAAGCACCGGCUAACGCCGUGCCAGCCGCCGCGGUAAAUAC